AUCCUCACUACCGUGUCAGAGAGCGUUCUGUCAGACUGCCCCUCUGCUGCCAUCCAUCACACGACAAGAAAACAGCAGCAUGUUGAUGUUGGUGGAAAGGUUCAACCUCUGCUGCCAUAGCACCAACCUCUGCUGCCAGCUGCCUCUGUGGGCCGACAGCUUAAGAUAGGAGGCAUUACUUUUGGAGCAGCCCUGCUGAAGAACGUGGUUUGUGUACACAGGCUGGAAGGAAAGCAGAGAAACAAAACAAAGAAAACACCAACAAAUUGGAAGAAUGAAGAGUGAGGAGGAAUUGAAGUGUCCACAGAGUUCACAGUGUGGGUGACUGGAAGUGAUGGGGGAAAGGCAGCGAAUGCUGCUUGUGUAACACACAGCACUGGGUCUGAAUGCAGGACUGCUCUGCCUGUGUCCAUGUGCAGCACUUGGUAACAAGCGUUUGUGCUGUGUGCUCUGCUGUGCACCCAAACCCAGCACUGCUGUCCCUUGAACUCAUCUUCUCCCUCAGUGCUAUCUGCUUAUCCUUCCUGAGAUUGUUUCUACAUCCUGAAUUCCAUAUGUAGGAAACUGCACAGAGCUGAGCUCAGCCUUCUUGUGACACCUGAAGCAUUGCUGUGAGGGGAGACUGAGAUCCAGGUGAGCGAGAGGAGCAAAGGGUGGGACUGAGCAGCAGAAACCCAUGCAGAGAGGAGGAACACCCGUGCUGGGGCACAAAGCACACUGCCUGCUUGCAGUGUGAGGCACUGGAGCUUGGAUGCUGCCGUCCCAAAGGGCACAAGCUGCGAUGGGAGCACACAA